GGGGGGGGGGUGACGGAGUGCAGUGGGAAUCAAGCACCAAAAGAAAGCCAAGCACGUGGGGGCUCUCCUGAUCUCCUCAGGCAGGCUAUUCCACAAGAUUUUUUGUCUAAAGUGGCCCAGCCAAUUGACCAUUUCUCUGACCCCCAUCUGGAAACAUGGCAGCCUUGCCUAGCAAAAGAAGACGGCUACAACCCUGACUAGGCUCACCAUCCUCUGAGUCCUAAGAACCAUCUGAUUCCAGCCAGCCAGCCCCAUGCCACUCAGUGGCCUAUGAAACUCCCAGACUGUCUGAGAAAAUAAUUGUUGAAGGUGGCUACCUCACAACACCUCCAGACUGCCUGCUGUACUAAAGCUGUUUGUUAGCAAUGAGGCCUAUUCAGCUUUCCAAACUGUGGCGUGUCAAAGUACUUUAAAAGGCUUAGUUUUGCAGGACACAAUUAACGUUCUUUGCAAAUGAUGCAAAAAGGGGACAAGGUAAGACGUGGAAAGAAAGCCUAGGUGGAGAUACUGUGUCCUUCAGAACACAGAUGGCAGAUGAUACAGUGCAGAAUGUCCUGAGAAUUAGAGAUCAAUCCACAGCGAAGUGCAAAUGGCAGCCUGCUUAACCCUGGGAGAGCAGAGACAGAACUAGAUGUAAACUGAAAGAUGAAAGACCGUGACUGACUGAUGCAGGAUGGACUGUCAUGAGAUGAAGAGCGCAAAGGGAUGCUUAUGUAAAAAGACCAGAAAGGUGAUUUCCAAGCAUUACAAAGAGAUUUGUCUUAGCUGGGGCUCGAGGCACCAAGUAAGAGAACGCCAGCUAAAGCUGAGCCCUGUCCAGACGUGACACACUGGGGAGUGUAGGGUCUAGGUGUGUGAGCUGGCAAGUUCCUUUUUCACUCAAGUCAAUGUAGUGCAGAAGGAGCCUUGCAGUGGCCCAGAUUCAAAUCCACCAUGAAACUUUGAGCCAAUCUCAAAAUAAUCUACUGUACAGGUUUGUUGCAAGUAUCAAACGUGAUAGCGAUGAAGAAAGCAUAUAUGCUAUCCUGGGUUCCUUGGAGGAAGGACGGGAUAAAAAUCAAAUUAAUUAAUUAACAGGAUGAGAUAAAAAUCAAAUAAAUUAAUUAUCAGACUCCUUAGGUGGUACUAGGCAAGACGAACUCUCUCAUCCUCAAUUCUGCACCUUUAUCUUCCAGUAAAGAUGACUCAACUUAUUUAUGGGAAGGUCUCUGAACAGUCUAAAACAUAUACAAACAACAAGAAGAAGCAGGGAACUUGUGAGGAAUCACAGGAGGAGUGAGUGAUUCGGAAUUCCCAUCUAAAUCUUCCCCUUCUGGAGUCUAUAAACUUUUGGGGCACCAUGACUUGAGUGGGCUGAGUCCCUCCUUCUCUUUCAUUAGUGGACUCUUAAAUUGCUCUCAGUAUUGCAUUGUUCUGGAACAGUGUCUGCCCUCAUCGAGCCAUUUUUCUGCAGUACCACCUCCGUUCUUUUGUUUAAGUUUCUCUAUAUAGCUGGGCGUUUUAACGUACAGAGUAUGUUAAAAUGGCAACAUUGGCCAUUUCCACACACAUUGAAUAAUGCACUUUCAAUGCACUUUAGCAAUCCUUUGAAAAUGGAUUUUUUGUUCCACACAUGGAAAAGCAGUUCCAAAUGUUCACUAAAGAGUAUUGAAAGUGGAUUAUCCAAUGUGUGUGGAAGCAGCCAUUGUCUGUGGUUGGCCACAUUGUGCUUGGCCUGGGUUGGGGGAGGGGUCAGCUGCUGUACUAUUAGAUACAGGCUGUACUAUUAGAUACAGUCUCGAGAGGUAUACUGUCUACCAGGUACACUCAUCCAGGAUGUGACAGAAAGUGUAGGAAGACUCAUCAAGCCCACAGAUUAUUAUCCCUUCUUGCUGAUCCAUGUGGGAAUAAAUGAUAUUGCCCGGAACAGUUCAGAAUGCAUUGAAAGGGACUAUUUGGCUCUGGGUAAAAAGGUUAAGGACCUGGGAGCACAGGUUGUGUUUUUGUCAGUUCUUCCAGUUGAAAGCUGUGGUUUAGGAAGGGAAAAAAGAAUACUGCAAAUAAAUGACUGGGUACAUAGAUGGUGUCAUCAGAAAAGGUUUGGGUUUUUUGGACCAUGGCUUACACUUCCGUGAUGAAGCUCUUCUAUCGAGAGAUGGUUUGCACCUCACGAGGGUAGGAAAAAAUGUGUUUGGUAAGAGCCUUGCAAACCUGAUAAGGAGGACUUUAAACUAAAUCCUAUGGGAGUGUGAGACAAAAAUUCAAAGCUUAUAACUGGAGAUGAGAACACUGAAGAUUUGCAGGAAGUGGAACACAUGUUAGGAAACAUUAACUCACAGGUAAGCAUAGAAACAAAAACCUCAGGGCAUAUAACUCAUGGGUUCCAAUGUCUCUACACUAAUGCGCACACUAUGGAAAACAAGCAGGAGGAACUUGAAGUCCUAAUACAGGAAGGAGACUAUGACAUAAUAGGCAUUACUGAAAUUUGGUGGAAUGACACAAUUGGAAUACUAGGAUUGAGGGAUACAACUUGUUCAAAAGGGAUAGACAAAUAAGGAAGGGGGAGGAGUCGCAUUAU